rnacentral:lncRNA from 1 species
ACAAAAACAGAAAUCAGUAAUGUAUUUUUUAAUUACAUUAUCAUAAAAAUGCUAUGCAUGUUAAAGGAAAGAAGACUUUAAAAUUUUUUUUUAAGAUCUACUUUACAGCAUGGUGAAUAUAAUUAAUAACAGAGUACUGUACAUUUUAAAAUUGCUAAGAGAGUAAAUUUCAAAUGUUCUUCCCGCAAAAAAUGUUAAGUAUUUGAGGUGAUGGAUAUGUUAACUAGCUUUAUUUAAUUAGUCCACAUUACAUUCAUGAAUCAUAACAUUACUUUAGACCCUAUAAAUUUAUAUAAUUAUAAACCAUCAACUUGUAAUGAAAAAUAAAUUAAUUAAAAUAUGAGGAGCUAAUAGUAGUUGUCGUAAUUUGAAACUGAUAUUUAGGAAAUGUGUUUCUCCAAUAUAAAUAAUGUUUUUUUACAUCUUAAAGUAUCCUAUAGGUAACAAAGAUCUCAUAUUCGUUUUCACAGAAAAUCUACUCGCCAUGGUAAAGAUAACCUAAAUGCUCCAUAUUAAGCCAUAAACAUUUUACAACAGUAUUUGAGAUGUUAAAGCUUGAAAACAGACAAGAAUUGAACAUAUUAGUGGUGGGAAAAAAAACAACAGAAAAAUCAAUAGCAAAUCCAUUAUUAGUUCACACAUUAAUAAAUGUUCUCCAGUUAACAGCAGUAACAAGAAAAGGUUUCUGACUUCGGGAAUAAUUAUUUUAUUGAAGGGCUUAUUUUAGAACAGACAAUCAGUACUGACUAUCAGUAUGCUACAAUCACACAAUUCUAAUGUGAAAAUAUCAGCUUAAUAAAUGAAUAAUCACGAGGAAAUACUCAGUAUGUUACAAAAACAGUCCCAUGAAAGCAGAGAAUUUUUGUGUUUUCCUUUUAUAUAUACCUGGUAUCUAGAAAAGUGUGUGGCAUAUAGUGUUGAUGAAUGACUGAAUUAAUGGGAUUUUUUUUUUUUUUUUUUUUUUUUUUACAAAGGACUAGAGUUUCAGUACAGCUUCACUAUCCUUUCCCAUUCUUAAAGACUGUUGUUACGGUUUGAAUUUUGUCCUCUCAAAAUCUCAUGUUGAAAUUUAAUUGCCAUUGUAAUGGUAUUAAGAAGUGGGACUUUUAAGAGGUGAUUGGGCCAUGAGGGUUCCACCCUCUUGGGUGGGAUUAGUGCUGUUAUAAAAGGGUGAGUUUGGCCCCCUCAUCUCUCUUGCCUUUCUGCCUUCCACCAUGGGAUGACACAGCAAGAAGGGCCUCAUAAGGUGCCAGUGCCUUGAUCUUGGACUUUCCAGCCUCCCGAACUGUGAGAAAUAAACUUCUGUUCUUUACAAAUUACCCAGCCUCAGGUAUUCUGGUACAGCAGCACAAAAUGGGCUCAAAGACAAAGACCCUGGAAGCACCUUAUGGCCAUGUAUACUUCUGUGGUGCCUGGCUAUCCAGGAAAGCUAACUGAGCAUCAGAGAUGGCUUUUCGCCUCCUUCUGCCACUGAUCAGUUAUGAGACUUAUGGCAAGUGUUGUGACCAUUCUAGCUAUCAACUUUCUCAUCUGCAAACCUUGGCAACUGUUAUAAAUGAAGCUUUGCAGCCACUUCCAGUUCUGUAAUUUUGUAGCUACAGUCCACUCAAGAAUUCUUUUUUGAAGCUAGUUUUCUAAGGCCACUUAAGAUACAAUUUUGUAUAUACCAAUUUUGUUUAGUUAGAGCCUUCAUAAAUGUACUUAUGAAAAAAAAACCAGGAACACUUAUAGCUAUGAUUCUGAACACUCAGUCACUUGAAACAAUAUUUUAAGUAGCAUCAGCAUAUAAAAAGAAGCUUUAACUAUUUAUAGCAAAUAAAAUAAUCUAACUUUAGAAUAGGAUAGACUUAUAGUAGUUCAGAUUUUAAUUUCUAUAGACUAUUUUAAUGGCCAAAUACCCAUGUAUAAGAUUGAUUUUAUUUUUGUAGUAAAGGAAUCCUAUGAUUUCCAGUUUAUCAUCAAGCUAUUCACACUCUAUAAGAAUCACACAUUCAAUUGUCUUUUCCUUCACUGGACUAUGAGAUCUAUGAGGGCAUGGGCUAACAAAGCAUGUAGAGACCGAUAUCUGAAACAUUUGACUCUCAAUCCCCUUGUAGCCUUCCCAGGUUCCACUAACUCCUCCCCUUGACCAAUACUGCAGGUUUUCAUAUAAGAUAAAAAAUUAGUGGAUCCAAAUUGUUCCUA